CUGCACACCAGUGCACAAAGCAGGUCCAUAAAGACAUGGAUGAGCCAGUUUGGUGUGGAGGAACUUGACUGGCCUGCAGAGUCCUGACCUCAACCCGACAGAACACCUUUGAGAUGAAUUAGCGUGGAUACUAAAAAAGGAAGAGGAUGACCAGCUAUGCGACGAAUCGAUACAAUCAUGGAAAUCACAAACAAGCCGUGCAGCAGCCAAAGACCCAAACAGAAGACCGGAUAUUCUGGAGGAACACUAACCUACAUGUGGUCACCAGGGGCCUCAUUUAUAAAACUUUGCGUGGAAUCUGGAUUGAAAAUGUACGUGCGCUCAAAACCAGGAAAUUGCGUGCGCACCAAAAAAAUCUGAUUUAUAAAACCCUGCGUACGCACACCUGCACGUUGUUUCCUCUUUAUAAAUCACAACCAUCUUCAAACUGAGCGUAGCUGAAUCAGCCGCACGUUCCGCCUCCGCCCCGCCCACUUUUACCCAUAAAUGGUCAAUGCAAAUCACUCAAAUAUUUAAAUGGCAGCUUGCCCCAUUCUUUUUGAAGCGGAAUAAUGGAUGAGAAAAAGACCAAAAAACGAAAAUUUGGAGAAUGUGAAGUGGAAGUCCUUGUUUCAGAGGUCGAGGCAAGGAAAAAUGUUGUUUGGGAGCCUUAGUAGUGGAGUGACAAACAAACGCAAGUUUGUUGAGUGGCAACAUGUGGCUGCAGCUGUUAACAAUGUAAGCUCUACAAGCCGCACUGUUGCAGAAGUAAAAAAGAAAUGGUCGGACUUGAAAGUAGAUGCAAAGAAACGGAUUUCUUUGCACAGGAAGAGUGCAAGUGCUACUGGUGGGGGAAAGGCCACACUUUCUCCGUCUCCUUUUCAUGAGAGGAUGGCAUGUUUAAUUGGGGAACCCCUGUUAAGUGGCGUGGUGACUGAAAAGGAGGGCGAUACAGACUUGGCUGAUGAACCCAUCACUGGUGAACCAGAGAGGACUGUGGGAGUGGACAGCAGUCAUUCAGCUGAAGACUGCCAACCCGGCCCCAACGGUGUCUCCGGUGCCCCGGUUGCCUCCAGCGGUGUCUCCGGUGCCCCGGAUGCCUCCAGCGGUGCACCACGUGCUUUAAGCGGAGGUCGUGUUCUGACUGAGGCUGUUUUACAAACACAAAUAAACACAAUUACAGCAAUUGACAAUUUAACAAAUGAGCUUAAAGAGAUUAAGGGGAUACUGUCUGAAAUGUCAAGUACAUUAAAAGAACUUGUUAAAAAAUA